GCCCACGUGGUGCAGUGGCUAAGCACCUGGCCGUGUAUGGCCCGUGCCUAGGCAUGGGAAUACAAGUGGGUUCGAGUCCCACCGUGGUCA
rnacentral:tRNA from 1 species